AGUGAACGCUGGCGGCAGGCCUAACACAUGCAAGUCGAACGGCAGCACAGAGGAGCUUGCUCCUUGGGUGGCGAGUGGCGGACGGGUGAGGAAUGCAUCGGAAUCUGCCUAUUUGUGGGGGAUAACGUAGGGAAACUUACGCUAAUACCGCAUACGUCCUACGGGAGAAAGUGGGGGACCUUCGGGCCUCACGCAGAUAGAUGAGCCGAUGCCGGAUUAGCUAGUUGGCGGGGUAAAGGCCCACCAAGGCGACGAUCCGUAGCUGGUCUGAGAGGAUGAUCAGCCACACUGGAACUGAGACACGGUCCAGACUCCUACGGGAGGCAGCAGUGGGGAAUAUUGGACAAUGGGCGCAAGCCUGAUCCAGCCAUGCCGCGUGUGUGAAGAAGGCCUUCGGGUUGUAAAGCACUUUUGUCCGGAAAGAAAAGCGCUCGAUUAAUACUCGGGUGUUAUGACGGUACCGGAAGAAUAAGCACCGGCUAACUUCGUGCCAGCCGCCGCGGUAACAC
rnacentral:rRNA from 1 species